rnacentral:rRNA from 1 species
AAUGAACGCUGGCGGCAGGCCUAACACAUGCAAGUCGAACGGAUCCUUCGGGAUUAGUGGCGGACGGGUGAGUAACGCGUGGGAACGUGCCCUUUGGUUCGGAAUAGCCUCGGGAAACUGGGAUUAAUACCGCAUAAGACAGUAGCUGGGCAUCCAGCAGCUGUUAAAGAUUUAUCGAUGUAAGCUGGGCAUGCGUCCAAUUAGCUAGUUGGUGAGGUAACGGCUCACCAAGGCAAUGAUUGGUAGGGGAACUGAGAGGUCAAUCCCCCACACUGGCACUGAGAUACGGGCCAGACUCCUACGGGAGGCAGCAGUAGGGAAUAUUGGGCAAUGGACGCAAGUCUGACCCAGCCAUGCCGCGUGCAGGAUGAAGGCGUUAUGCGUUGUAAACUGCUUUUAUACAGGAAGAAACGACUCUUGCGAGAGGCAUUGACGGUACUGUAUGAAUAAGCACCGGCUAACUCCGUGCCAGCCGCCGCGGUAAUAC